UCCAGACUCCUACGGGAGGCAGCAGUGGGGAAUAUUGCACAAUGGGGGAAACCCUGAUGCAGCGACGCCGCGUGAGUGAAGAAGUAUUUCGGUAUGUAAAGCUCUCUCAGCAGGGAAGAAAAUGACGGUACCUGAUUAAGAAGCCCCGGCUAACUACGUGCCAGCAGCCGCGGUAAUACGUAGGGGGCAAGCGUUAUCCGGAUUUACUGGGUGUAAAGGGAGCGUAGACGGCAGCGCAAGUCUGAAGUGAAAUGCCGGGGCUUAACCCCGGAACUGCUUUGGAAACUGUGCGGCUAGAGUGCAGGAGAGGCAAGCGGAAUUCCUAGUGUAGCGGUGAAAUGCGUAGAUAUUAGGAAGAACACCAGUGGCGAAGGCGGCUUGCUGGACAGUAACUGACGUUGAGGCUCGAAAGCGUGGGGAGCGAACAGGAUUAGAUACCCGAGUA
rnacentral:rRNA from 1 species